CCAGCAGCCGCGGUAAUUCCAGCUCCAAUAGCGUAUAUUUAAGUUGUUGCAGUUAAAAAGCUCGUAGUUGGAUUUCGGGUGGGUUGUAGCGGUCAGCCUUUGGUUAGUACUGCUACGGCCUACCUUUCUGCCGGGGACGAGCUCCUGGGCUUAACUGUCCGGGACUCGGAAUCGGCGAGGUUACUUUGAGUAAAUUAGAGUGUUCAAAGCAAGCCUACGCUCUGAAUACAUUAGCAUGGAAUAACACGAUAGGACUCUGGCUUAUCUUGUUGGUCUGUAAGACCGGAGUAAUGAUUAAGAGGGACAGUCGGGGGCAUUCGUAUUUCAUUGUCAGAGGUGAAAUUCUUGGAUUUAUGAAAGACGAACUUCUGCGAAAGCAUUUGCCAAGGAUGUUUUCAUUAAUCAAGAACGAAAGUCUGUCUCUUAUACAUUAAUCAAGAACGAAAGU
rnacentral:rRNA from 1 species